GACGAACGCUGGCGGCGUGCUUAACACAUGCAAGUCGAGCGGUAAGGCCCUUUCGGGGUACGACGAGCGGCGAACGGGUGAGUAACACGUGGGUGACCUGCCCUCAGCUCUGGGAUAAGCCUGGGAAACUGGGUCGUAAUACCGGAUAUGACUCCAUGACGCAUGUUGUGGGGUGGAAAGCCUUGUGCGGCUGAGGAUGGGCCCGCGGCCUAUCAGCUUGUUGGUGGGGUGAGGCCUACCAAGGCGACGACGGGUAGCCGGCCUGAGAGGGCGACCGGCCACACUGGGACUGAGACACGGCCCAGACUCCUACGGGAGGCAGCAGUGGGGAAUCUUGCGCAAUGGGCGAAAGCCUGACGCAGCGACGCCGCGUGAGGGAUGACGGCC
rnacentral:rRNA from 1 species